rnacentral:rRNA from 1 species
CACGUAGUUAGCCGGUGCUUAUUCUUCAGGUACCGUCAUGAGCCCCAGGUAUUAGCCAGAACCUUUUCUUCCCUGACAAAAGCGGUUUACAACCCGAAGGCCUUCUUCCCGCACGCGGCAUGGCUGGAUCAGGCUUGCGCCCAUUGUCCAAAAUUCCCCACUGCUGCCUCCCGUAGGAGUCUGGGCCGUGUCUCAGUCCCAGUGUGGCUGGUCGUCCUCUCAGACCAGCUACAGAUCGUCGGCUUGGUGAGCCUUUACCUCACCAACUACCUAAUCUGAUAUCGGCCGCUCCAAUCGCGCGAGGUCUUGCGAUCCCCCGCUUUCACCCUCAGGUCGUAUGCGGUAUUAGCUGCUCUUUCGAGCAGUUAUCCCCCAGACUGGGCACGUUCCGAUACAUUACUCACCCGUUCGCCACUCGUCAGCUUAACCUGUUACCGUUCGACUUGCAUGUGUAAGGCAUGCCGCCAGCGUUCAAUCUGAGCCAGGAUCAAACU